UUACAUGAUCUGAGUUCAGACCGGCGUGAGCCAGGUCGGUUUCUAUCUUUAUUAAAUUAAAAUAUUUUAGUACGAAAGGACCAAAUAUUAAUUAAAUUAAUUAUUAUUUUGAAUGUUAUU
rnacentral:rRNA from 1 species